GUGUGCGAUCGAGAAGGAUAGGGCAGGGGAGACUUUCCCCUCAAAACCCUAGCAAAUUAUCACCAAAUUGAGAGGCUUAAAGGAUGAAAUUGUUAUGCAUGGGCUAGGAACUUUGAUUACUUAAGUGUUCUUGACAUCAAACAUGAAUGCACGAAGAAAGAAGAAAGCGCGAGUCAUUCGAAGUCACAAGCAACGCAAGACCACGGUAAGUUCAUAUGAACUUCAUUUAUCUUUUAUGUAGAUUUUACAAAUGGUAAUUCUAGAAUUAAAGCCUUAGUGUAAAGUGUAUGUGGUUCAUGUUAAAAAUUGUGAUAAGUAAAGUAUCGAAAGAUGAAUAGAGAUGCAAUGUCAAUGGUCAUGUAAUGAUUCGCUUCAAGCGGGUCAAAAUGUUGGAAAGUGUAAUUUUGGAAUGGUUUAUGUAAAGACUUGUUGAUAACGGGUCGAAUUGAAGAAAAAGUGUUAAAGAUAUGGCGUAGGUCUCGACCCAUUAUGUAGGGGUUGAUAAGUUUAUAUGUUGAAUGUUUUCGAAAGAAACGUAAAAGAGCAAAAAGAAAUUUAUGUUAGAAUUGAAAAAAAUGAUUUACUAUAAGGAUGCUGACAAGAUGAUGAAUUUAUAAACGGGUCGAAUAAUGACAAGAAAAUGAAAGUCUUGAAUUUUGUUUGGCUAAUAGAACUAAUAAAUGUAUUGGUGUUUUGAAUGAUAGGUAUAUCCCACUCAUGAUGAUGCGAGCUCGGAUCGAACACACCACACUACAUCGCCCUUUAUGCGCUUCCGGUUAAAGUCGUCUUUUGUAAAUGGGUCAAAACUCUUUCAUAAUGUAAAUAUUAAAUUUAUGUCUUAUGAAGUGUGUCAUAGAACUUAGUUGAAUGAUGAUUGUUAAAAACAGGGAAUUGUUUAUAGUACGAACGGGUCAUGCCCAAUUUUUGUAAAAUUAAUAUGUCAUUGUCAUUAUUUUCGAAUGUGAAAAAAAUGG
rnacentral:lncRNA from 1 species